rnacentral:ncRNA from 1 species
GACAGAAAAAGGCACACUCUCUGAAAGGAGAGGUCGCAAAGCUAGAGGGGCUAAUGUUCGGAGGAACGAUGCCAGCCAGCUACCUGU